rnacentral:rRNA from 1 species
CAUGUCCUUUUGAUAAUAAUUUAAGGUCUAAUCUGCUCAAUGAAAAUUAAAUUGCCGCAGUAUUUUGACUGUGCAAAGGUAGCAUAAUAAUUAGUUUAUUAAUUAUAAACUGGAAUGAAUGAUUGGACAAGAAAAUUACUGUCUCUUUAUUAAUUAAUUGAAUUUUAUUUUUAAGUGAAAAAGCUUAAAUUAAUUUAAAAGACGAGAAGACCCUAUAGAGUUUAAUAUAUUUAUUUAUUUAAUAUUAGAAUAUUUAUGAAAAUAAUAUAUUUAGUUGGGGUGACUUAAAAAUUUAAAUAAUUUUUUAAUUUUUUAAUUGGAGAUUUCUAAAUUUAAUAUCUAUAAUUUAUAAUUAUAAAAUAAAUUACCUUAGGGAUAACAGCGUAAUUAUUUUUAAAAGAUCUUAUUUAAAAAAUAGUUUGCGACCUCGAUGUUGGAUUAAAAUUAAUUUUUGGUGAAGUAGCUGAGAUAUUAGGUCUGUUCGACCUUUAAAAUUUUACAUGAUCUGAGUUUAGACCGGUGUAAACCAGGUUGGAUUCUAUCUUUAAAAAAAUUAUAUAUUUUAGUACGAAAGGACCAAUUAUAUAUUAUAUUAAUUG